AUUGAACGCUGGCGGCAUGCCUUACACAUGCAAGUCGAACGGCAGCACGGGAGCAAUCCUGGUGGCGAGUGGCGAACGGGUGAGUAAUGUAUCGGAACGUACCUUUCAGUGGGGGAUAACGUAGCGAAAGUUACGCUAAUACCGCAUAUUCUGUGAGCAGGAAAGCAGGGGAUUGCAAGACCUUGCGCUGAUUGAGCGGCCGAUAUCAGAUUAGCUAGUUGGUGAGGUAAAGGCUCACCAAGGCGACGAUCUGUAGCGGGUCUGAGAGGAUGAUCCGCCACACUGGAACUGAGACACGGUCCAGACUCCUACGGGAGGCAGCAGUGGGGAAUUUUGGACAAUGGGGGCAACCCUGAUCCAGCCAUGCCGCGUGAGUGAAGAAGGCCUUCGGGUUGUAAAGCUCUUUCAGCCGGGAAGAGAUCACAUGGGUUAAUACCCUGUGUGGAUGACGGUACCGGAAUAAGAAGCACCGGCUAACUACGUGCCAGCAGCCGCGGUAAUACGUAGGGUGCGAGCGUUAAUCGGAAUUACUGGGCGUAAAGCGUGCGCAGGCGGUUUGUUAAGAUAGGCGUGAAAUCCCCGGGCUCAACCUGGGAACUGCGUUUAUGACUGGCAGGCUAGAGUAUGGCAGAGGGGGGUGGAAUUCCACGUGUAGCAGUGAAAUGCGUAGAGAUGUGGAGGAACACCGAUGGCGAAGGCAGCCCCCUGGGCCAAUACUGACGCUCAUGCACGAAAGCGUGGGUAGCGAACAGGAUUAGAUACCCUGGUAGUCCACGCCCUAAACGAUGUCAACUAGGUGUUGGGUGGGUAAAACCAUUUAGUACCGG
rnacentral:rRNA from 1 species